rnacentral:rRNA from 1 species
UACGAAGGGGGCUAGCGUUGUUCGGAAUCACUGGGCGUAAAGGGCGCGUAGGCGGCCUGAUAAGUCGGGGGGUGAAAGCCUGUGGCUCAACCACAGAAUUGCCUUCGAUACUGUUAGGCUUGAGACCGGAAGAGGUAAGUGGAACUGCGAGUGUAGAGGUGAAAUUCGUAGAUAUUCGCAAGAACACCAGUGGCGAAGGCGGCUUACUGGUCCGGUUCUGACGCUGAGGCGCGAAAGCGUGGGGGAGCAAACAGG